rnacentral:lncRNA from 1 species
GGGACAGAUGGCCCCUUCUGGAAGCACUGGGGGUGCAGAGUGCCUCGCGAGCACUGAAGGUGUUGAGGGUCUGGCUCAUGCCCUGCACUGCCCGUGUGUGGACUGCAGCGUGGAAACAGUGCUCAGAGAGGCUCCGUGGCCUUGCCCCAGCUCGCAAGUGGUGGCGUAGGACGCCGAUGUCAGUGCUGUCGGGCUCUGUGACACUGUGCUAUCUGUCCACGCCCCUGGACCGUCUUAUUGAAGACAGGCAAGGAGGAGAGAACAGGGAAGGCGGAGGGCAGGCACUCCCAGGAGCUGCUGGAACAGGCUGAGUCCUGGCGCUUAUCCGAGCUGUCUUGUUUGCACGUGCUCGUCUCCCACCCACUCACUGGUGAGCUCCGCAAGAGUGUACUUCUCUCCGUCCCUGGAGCGCCACGGCGUGCUGGUGCAUAGUAAGCAUCUGUCCAUGUCUGUCCAGUUGAAUUUCUUGAGAGUCAUUUGACCUUCUCAGCAGCUCUGGAGAACCCACAUUGACCAGAGACUUUGCAGCCAGCUCACCCCUCCAAAUCCCCGCCCUGGAGUCCCUGACCCAGGAAUUUCUGCAUCAGGCUGCUCAAACCUGAAUUUGACAAAAUUUCAAAGCGCUGUAUCUUUAUGUUGAUAAGACAACGGAUAAAGUGCCAUACUUGGAACCUAGAUCACUCAAUGUUGCCUGUAGCUGAGUCCACUUCUGUCACUCACCCUGCAUUGCCCUGCCAGGAGCAAGGGAGAGAAAGCCAGCCAGAAGGCAUGGGCAUGGGCUCAAAUCUGGCUUCUCCUGUGGCCACUGUGAAAGUUGAUCAUACAAAGGUCACUGUUGUCAUAGCCAAGCAGAGUUAUGAGACCACAGGAAAAAGCACUUGGACCACGUAACAUUGCUCCAAGAGUAUAACUGUCUCCAACCCUGGCUGCUGGAACAAGUGUUGCAACCUGAAACCGGUUUGAUCUAAUAGCUACAGAAACAACCUGCGGAAAUCUAAGACUAGUUUCACCCACUCACCAAUCAGAGCUUGCCGGAUCCCCAAAACGUUGCUAGUGCUAAUGAACUUGCUUUCCUAACAAUCCAUAACAUUUCUCAUUUUUAUGAAACCUACAACCUUCUCUUUGCUCUUUGGACAUACUGAAGACCACCCAGUCUGUGUGUAUGCCCCAAACUGAAAUUCUUGCUCCCCAAAUAAAACAUUUUAAACUUAGAGAUUUGUCUGUAUAUUUUAUUUGACUUUGACAGCACCAGGGGCUCCGGCACAAAUCUCCUCCUUCAAGCCCUUUUCUACACAGUCCCGUGGGUCUACCCUGAAAGAAGCCUGAUGACGGCUCAAAGACACAAUGUUACUGGGAGGUAAAUUCAGGAUUACUUGACCGAAUGGCCCACCCGAGGUCACGGAGGCUGCUGGAGGAACAGAAAAUGGUCUUCACCAAGUGAAGCAUUGUCGGUCUUGGCCUGUGUCUGGCUGGAGAAUGUUAAAAUUCUGGGGACACAACAGAAAAGGCACAGUUGUGGGGACCAGGCCAAUGUCAGCGUGAGAACUGGCUCCAUCCCCCUCCCAUGAACCAGCUCUGCGGCCAAGGCAGGUCUGCAUUUCCUGGUCUGUGACACGGAGUCAGUAACAUUGCCUACUUCCCGGGGCUAUUUCCAGAGAAGUGAGGGAAUGGGUGUGGAACGCCUGCCAUCUGCGGAGCCCCGCAUGAAACGUCUCUGUCUUUCCAGCCAGCCCUGAGCCAGGGAAGGGACUGGAAGCACAGCGGGUGGCUGAGGCGGGCUUUCGGCAGCUUACCCCCAGCCUUGCCCCUCCCCGCCUGCUGAAACACAAUCUAUGGUUGUCGCCUUCCUGGAGAUGUUAGCCGCCCCCUCCAGAGGUGGUUCCAAAUCUAUUUCUCAUUUGGCUGAUUUAGGAGAGGCUGCGAAUCGGUCGCUAUGGUUUCUUUAUUUUCUCCUGACAGCUUAGGAAUCAUUUUUCCAAUUAUUCCCAGGGGAGGAAAAAGAAGUGGAGGAAGCCAGUGUUUGGAAUGAGGGGAAGCUCACGGAUCUGAAAUGCAACCUCUUCUGCAGGAGACCCGGCACAGCUACCGGGACCCAUCACCUCCCUGUAGGAACCCCGCCCAGCCCCCUCCAGCCAGCCCUGCGUGGUUGUGGCCCCACUGCAGAAACGCCUCCGCUUAACACUCCAGCCUCUCUUCUAUUCGGUCAGGCCACAGCUGCUGACUUUGUGCCUGCUGUAGCAACCCCGAGCCCCCAAAUAAACCCUCCCUCCCAGGGUGGCCUCUCUACGGGGGGAGACAGACGGUGACCAAAAGCUAUCAGUUAAAUGCACAAACAGGACUUAGAGGGUGGAAAGUGACAAGAAGAGAAAUAUGGCAGGAAAAAGGGGUGGGGGUGAAAUUUUACACAGAGCCAUGGGGAAGGCUGCUGAGGAGGACCUGCAGGAGUGGGGGGCUCCCAGACAGGAACUGUGGCCCACUGCACGGAUAUGGGCAAGUUUGGAAGGGAAUGAGCCACUCCAAGCCUCAGCCUUGGCCAGCCAUUCUCAGGUCCAGGCAGGAAAGAUGCCAGCAGUCCCACAUCAGCUGAGGUGUUCAAACACAGUGGUGUCCCCUAAGCAGGGAGACUGCAGAGGGGAUUCAAGCCCUGGGCAGGGGGCUAAAGUAGGCCAAUCCUGGUUCUGCAACUGUCCCUGGCCCAGCAGCUUGUUGGCUGUGUAGCGUCUCAGGCACUCCCUAAAGGUCAAGGAGUCUUGGCCGAGACUUCGGCUCACCCCAGCCCAGCUUCUGCUCCUGGCCGGGAAUGGUGUUUCCUAACCACACGUCCAUGGAGCAGGAAGGUACGCCUCCACCCGCUCCCAUUCCUUCUCCACAGCUUGCCACAGGGCAGUGCUGGGUUUAGUUCCUCUCCUUAUUUAGAGCUGGGGCGUAUCAGGUGUGCAGCUGGACAGGUACCAGCCAAGGCAGAGAAUGCAAGUCAGCCACGGGUGGCAUGUCGGGAAGCACCAGAAGGUGCCAACUUUGGCAUCCAGGGCCUUCCUGGACCUGCUGAAAUUUGGUCUAAAUGUGCUCUUGUACCCGUGUGGAAGGGCUCAGUGCAGCCUGGGUCUGGGAUUUCAGGGAGCAGAGUAUGAUUCUGGAUGGGUGAUUUAGCCGCAAGUGAGAGUUUUUACUGAGCCCAGCAAUGGGCAGAGCAUGGUUCUGGGGGUGGCUGGCUUGGGGGCGACACAGACAGGUAAACCAGUUGUCCGUGUGAGUGGAGGGGGCAGAAGUUGAUAAGAGCAGGGAGUGACGGGCAGGGGGGUCUGGGAGCUCAUUUCUCAUAAUUAGGUGUUUUCAUGGUAGCUUUGUGCUGCCGCCGACAGAACCCCUUGUUGGGAUGAACUUGUAGUGGGAUGAUAUUUUAAUCUCCCAUAUUCUGUUAGUUUGCCAGAGCUGCCCUAACAAAGUACCACAAACUAGGUGGCUUGAAACAAUAGAAAUUCACUGCCUUGCAGUUCUGCAAGCCAAAAGUCUCUGAUCAAGGUGUGAGCAGGGAUGGUUCCUGCUGGGGCUGUGACGGAGACUCUAUUCCAGGCCUCCCCAGCUCUGGGUGGUUUUCUGGCCACCUUUGGCAUUCCUGGGCUUCUAGACACGUCACCUCAAUCUCUGCCUUCGUGUCCACGUGGCGGUCUCCCUGUGUGUGUGUCUGUGUCAAAAUUUCCCCUUUUUAUAAGGAUACAUUCAUAUUGGAUCAGGGCCCACCCUACUCCAGUAUGACAUCAUCUUAACUUAUCACAUCGGCAAUGACCUAGUUCCAAAUAAGGGUCCUUCGGAGGCACCGGGGGUUAGGACUUUGUAUUCGUUUGCGGGACUGCUAUAACAAAGUACUGCAGACCCAGGGGCUUAAACAAUAGAAAUGCAUUUCUGCCAGUUCUGGAAGCUGGAAGUCCACGACCAAGGGGUCCGCAGGGCUGGUUUCUUCCGAGGCUUCUCUCCUUGGCUUGCAGAGGAACGUCUCCUCCCCGUGUCUUCACCUGGCCUUUCCUCCGGGCAUGGCUAUGUCCAUAUCUUCCCUUCUCGUAAGGACUCCAGGCAGAUGGGAUUACAGCCCACCCACAUGACCUCAUUUUAACUUAAUUACACUACUUCUUUAAAGGCCCUUUCUCCAAAUGCAGUCACAUCCUGAGGUACAGGGGUUAGGGCUUCAACAUAUGGAUUUUGGAGAAACACAAUUCAGGUCAUAAGACUUCAACAUAUCUUUUUGGGGGAAACAGUUCAACUCAUAACACACACUGUGAAGCAGUUUUAUCUCUUGCUGCAAACAUUUCCUCAGCUCCCAUUCUGUGCUGGGCCCCGUGCUAGAAGCCGGGGGAGCCGUAGCAUCACCCUUCCAGGAGCCCCGUCUGCAAUGGGUGACAGACCAGUCGUGACUGUAGCUCGUGUGACAGCUGCCAAACUAGAGGCUCAAGGGUGAGGGGCUGGGAGAGCUGAGAGGAGCCACACUCGCUCUGUGGGGAAGUGAGGCAGGAAAAGGUAACUGGACAAGGCUGACUGGGAGGUGGCCAGACCAGCAGGAGGGUGGGGGUGUUUCAGGCAGGGGGGCCACACUUGCAGACGCUCAGAAGCACCAGGGAGCCUGGCACAUUCCGGAAACUGCAGCUGCUUCCUCCGAACCUUCUGGGCAUCUGCGAGGCCCUCCUGACCUGGAUCCCUAGCACCCCGACCCAGUUCUGUGAAGCGUGUCUCUGGGCGCUCCUGAAGGCAGGACUGAGAGCUCCUGUCCCUCCCCUUGCUCCGUUUCCAUGUUCUGGGAGGAAAGAAUGAAUGGAAGUUGCGAGAAACUGGGCUCACAUGUUCAGCAGUCGGCAUUGACUGAACAGUCCUGUGCCAGGUGCCUCACUUGCCUUGCAUUUUUUUUUUCAGUGUAAAUCCACCCUUUAUUGCCUCCAAAAAGAUAUUUUCUACAGCUUUACCCAGGUAUAACUGACAUUUAAUGAAGCAGUACAAUUUGAUGAGUUUGACAUGUCUACACCUGUGAAACCGCCCCCUGAAGCCAUGUGCCCCUCUGUCGCCCGUCCCUCCUGCCCCUGCCCACCCUCUCUCUCCAGACAGACUCUGAUCUGCCUCUGUCACUGUGAUGAGUGUGCAUUUUCUAGAAACAUCUGAAUGGAAUCAUUCUUCACACACUCUUCUCCCAUCUAGUAUAAGGAGGUGACGUGGAACUUUCUGAGAAAUGGUCAAACUGUUUUCCAAGGGGGCUAUGCUGUUUUCCGUUCCCGCCAGAGAGGAGUGGGGAGGUCAGGGGGGCAGCUGCCGUUCCGGCCAGCACUGAUUGUCUGUCACUGUCGCCGUGGGCGUGUGGUGGCAUCUCACUGUGGCUUUCAUUUGCAUUUCCUGGUGGCGAAUGACUCCGAGGUUUGGUUCUCACGGCCUGCCCGUGAGGUAGGAGGUGUUGGCCCAGUUUCCCAGGGAGGAGGCUCAGGAGCAGAGCCAUGGGGUAACCUGCCCGAGGCCACCCCGCCCCGAAUGGGAGAACCGAAGCUGUCCCUGUUGCUCACCUUCUUCUUUCCUGAGCUGGUAGAUCUCUUGUGACCCCAUUAACUCUGAGCCCCACCGGGUGUCCGGUCAGGGCAAGGGACAAGCUGAGGGAGGAAGAAGGAGCCGCCAGCUUCCCCGCCCCAGGCUCUCUGUCUUCAAAAGCAGCAAACACGCCCGGCCCUCAGCAUGGAGCCUGGCCAGGGGCCCCUUCUUUUCUAUCAGCCUCAAGUCACUAGACGCCCAUAGCGCGCUCCUCUUCUCUUCUAUCAGCAGGAGCAGAGUCCCCCAGCGAAGUCUCCCCGCUCCCCACAGAGCCCCUCCAGCCCGGCUCCCUCAUCCCUGGAGAGGAUCCCAAUCUCCUCAGAACUCACCCUCCCACGGCUGCCUCUGCUGUGGGGACUCCCGAGGCUGUGGACAAGUGGCUGGAGGCACCCCCCGUCGGAGGGGCGGGUGGCAGGAGCGCCUCUGGGGCGGGGCAGCCACCUGGGGAAGAAAAGGGGGGGCCACGGGGCCCUUGGGUGCCCGGCCCGCCCCAUACACAAGGCCAGCUUCCCUCUUAGCACACAGGGCUGUGUCCCUGACACAGAUUAACCAGACCCCAGAGCGGGGGAGUUGAUGGCUCUGAGAUAAGCUUGUGCCCCCCACCCCAAGUCAUGGUGUCAAAUCUAACUUAAGGGGUUUCUCAGCCAAAAUGCCGUUUGCCACCAGGACUGUCCCAACAAAGGACUUUCCCUCUCCCCUUGGCUACUCUUUCUCUUGGUCUUGGUCCUUAUCGCGAUCCUCAGCAGCACAGGCAGGCUGUGUGUGUGUGUGUGUGUGUGUGUGUCUGCACUUGCACACGUGGUGUGCCAGCAGCUGCGGAGUCAUUUGGGCCUGAGUUCUACGACUGAAUCCUGUUCCCCUGCGAGGCUUUGUCCCGUUAAUGAACUCUCUGUGAUUCAUUUCACUUCUCUGCAUAAUGGGCAUGACACAGCCUGGAAGUUGGGCGUGAUAAGUCAGUUAAAGGGGAAGUGUCAUGUCCAGAGCCUCUGCCUGAGCCUGCACCAAGCAGGCACCUCCACAGGUUUUCUCCCCACUUGUGCCCCUUACUUUUGCCCUGGCCUGCGUCCUGAGCCAAGGGACGGAAGGGAAGGUCUGUGGGUCGGUUCCAGGCGGGGGUAGAGCCCUGAGCUGAUGAGGGUUCUGAGCCUGGGGUCCACCCUGACAGUGGAGAACCUGCAAUGCUGGGCCAGGAGCCUGAACUUCAGGCUGCCAAAAGUAGAGUAACUCAGCAGGGGCGAGUUCCCAGGGCCCGUGUCCCCUUCCUUCUCCUCACCUCCAAUAGCAAAGGGAGGGGUCAGCGGCUGCCCGCCUGUGAUAAAUCCGAGAAGGAGCCCGGCCAGCCCAGAUGUAGAAAACGGCCGACUUGCUCUCGG